rnacentral:rRNA from 1 species
UACGGAGGGUGCGAGCGUUAAUCGGAAUCACUGGGCGUAAAGCGCACGUAGGCGGCCUUGCAAGUCGGGUGUGAAAGCCCCAGGCUUAACCUGGGAACGGCAUUCGAUACUGCGUUGCUAGAGUAUGGGAGAGGGGAGUGGAAUUCCAGGUGUAGCGGUGAAAUGCGUAGAUAUCGGAAGGAACAUCAGUGGCGAAAGCGACUUCCUGGACCAAUACUGACGCUCAUGUGAGAAAGCGUGGGGAGCAAACAGG